rnacentral:rRNA from 1 species
UGGGGAAUAUUGGGCAAUGGAGGAAACUCUGACCCAGCAACGCCGCGUGAAUGAUGAAGGUCUUCGGAUUGUAAAGUUCUGUGAUGGAGGACGAACACAAUGACGGUACUCCAAUAGCAAGCCACGGCAAACUACGUGCCAGCAGCCGCGGUAAUACGUAGGUGGCAAGCGUUGUCCGGAAUGACUGGGCGUAAAGGGUGCGUAGGCGGUCUGUCAAGAUAGAAGUGAAAUCCUUGGGCUUAACCCAAGAACUGCUUUUAUGACUGAUGGACUAGAGUGAUGGAGAGGUAAAUGGAAUUCCUAGUGUAGCGGUGGAAUGCGUAGAUAUUAGGAGGAACACCAGAGGCGAAGGCGAUUUACUGGACAUUAACUGACGCUGAUGCACGAAAGCGUGGGGAUCAAACA